UGCAUAGAUUAUUUCAAUUGAAAUAAUGAUUGAUGAGGAAAUUGAGUCCAAGAGAGUUUCACUAUCUUGCCCAGGGCCACAUAGCUGGUCAGUGUUUAUUAAAGUCCAGGAGUCUACCCAAGACAGUGCCUUGAUAACUCAACUGUAGACCUUAUGAAGAUGGCAGAGUAGAGGCAACCAUCCAACUGAACUCUCAACGUUCCCUUCCAAACAACUAUAAAAUGAGUCAAGUCAAAUUUUGAAGCACACAACAAAAGGUCAGGAUGGGACAUUUUUCUGAUCUAAGGAAACUCAGAUGGUUCAUAGGAGAGGUCUGUGACAUCUGGGUGGAGGCUUGCCCAAAGCACACACAAAUGAUGGUACCCACAGGGGCUGUAGCAACAGCAGCUUCAGGAACUCUCCAAACAGAGAGGGUAAAAUGAUCAGCUUCCAGGCUAAGGAGAAAAUAUUGGAAGAAGCCAGAAAGAGACAAUUCAGAUAUCAAGGAGCCUCAGUCAGGAUUACACAGGAACUGGCAGCCUCCACAUUAAAGGACCACAAGGCUUGGAAUAUGAUAUGCAGAAGGGCAAGAGAAUUGGGCCUACAACCAAGGAUCACCUACCCAUCAAAACUGACUCUAUACUUCCAGGGAAAAGUAUGAGUAUUUAACAAAAUAGAAGAUUUCCAAGUAUUUGUAAAGAAAAGAUCAG
rnacentral:lncRNA from 1 species